CAUUUUCUUCUGCAGUUCCUUAUUUUCCCUCAUAAGUUGAGCCAUUUUGCUGGCUAAAUGGUUAUUCUCCUCUUCCAACUAAGAUGCAGAAAUUAUAAGAAGCAAACAUCAGUCAUAUAAUAUAAAUUUGUGGAUAAAAA